GCCGCGCGCAGUGGCACGUGCCUGUAGUCCCAGCUAUUCGGGAGGCUGAGGUUGGAGGAUCUCUUGAGUCCAGGAGUUCUGGGCUGUAGUGCUCUAUGCCGACUGGGUGUCCGCACUAAGUUCAGCAUCAAUAUGGUGACCUCCCAGGAGCGGGGAACCACCAGGUUACCUAAGGAGGGGCAAACUGGCCCAAGUCAGAAAUGGAGCAGGUCAAAACUCCCGUGAUGAUCAGUAGUGGGAUCACGCCUGUGACUAGCCACUGCUCUCCAGCAUGGGCAACAUAGCGAGACCCCGUCUCCU
ensembl:misc_RNA Metazoa_SRP Metazoan signal recognition particle RNA